GCUGAUUCCCAGACUGUCCACAGGCUGGACUGAGAAGACGAUUGGGCCCACGGGCCUGAUCUAAGCCAACCCUCUCUUUGCUCUGCUAGUUUCCCAUACUGCUGGGACCGUUUGAAAAUAUGAUUCCCCUGCCUGAAACCUGAUGUAAUACGUUCUGCUCUCGCUCCUCACCCCCCACAGACCAUACACAGCGGAGGCCUGAGGGUCCUUGAAAAAGAGCUUGCCUCCUCAGAGUGCCAGCAGAAUUGAUCAGCAGAAGUAAGGAGGGUUGGGGAAAGCUGCCUGCAUGCACCUUUGAUAGUUGGGCAGAAGAGGGGAAUUUCAGCAGGCUGCACAAGCUGAAGCUCCUUUCUUCAUCUCCUCUGGCCGCCCUAUGACUUGCUCAGGCCCAUAGCUGCUUCUCUUGAUCGUCUCCUGGGUCUCCCUAGGCCCUUAUCUUUGUCUCUACGCACGUCCAGCCCCCCUGCAUCUUGUUGCAUUCAGGGCCAGUGCAUUCAGGGCACAUUCCUGCCUCUCCCUUUCGCCCCUAGUUUGUUUUUAUUUAUUUUAUUUGUAUACCACCCUGUCACCACAUAAAAAUACAAAAUGAGAACAUGAAAUACAGAAUAAAACAAAACCUUCCCCCCUCCCUUCCGACAAACACAUUUUAAAGGCCACAGAAUGUUAAUCAGCCAAAAGCCCUUGUUAUAGAGAAAUGGUUUCAUCUGGUGCCUAACUUUUAGGAGAAAUAAAACUGGCUUGCCUCAGGGCUGUAAUGAAUUCUCUUCAUAAAUUAUUUGGAUUAGCAGCACCUGUGUGGAGUCUGUCUGAAUGCUGUGCUCAUGGGUCACCAGGUAACACACCUCACCAUCUUUCUUCCCCCCUCUUUUUUAAAAAAGUCAAGGUCUUCUCUAUAUCUCAGUCCCUUUAAUCCCUUUCCCUUCUUUUUUAAUUAAUUUUCAUCCUUAAACUGUUUAACAUGGUUGCAUUGAGAUAUAUCUUUGUUUACAUUAGAGUGUACGACAGGCAACAAUUACAUAAUAUUAAAAUGAAACAUAAAACAAAAAUAAACACUAAGGUAAGUGUUUCUGAAUAUAUUAAAGUUGUGUCAGAGUGUAUAUCAAAAUGAUUACAGUUAUUACAGGUAUUCAAUGAUGUAUAGUAAUAUGUAGUACUUUGAUUGGUGACCAUUAAAGUGACCAAGUAAAAGAUGUUUUGUAUCAAUAACAAUUAGAAUUUAGGGGGGAGGGGGAGGGAAUAUUUAAAUAAAAUAUGUAUACAAGCCAGACUAUGCUAUAAACCAUGGACCCUGUUCUAUCACAUGUCUCAUUGUUUGUGUUAUCAAUGAAGUCUCACCAGACAUAAAAAUUGUUGUGUUUCUUUUAGCUUCUUGCUACUUUUAAUCUUUUUGUCAGUUUUUCUAAUAAUGCAGUUUGCCGAAUUGCAUUAUGCCAUUGGUCCAUAGUUAAUAAUUGUAAUGAUUUCCAUAGUUGUUCUUGCAGCGGUUAAUAGAUGUGUUAUGAGUUCUUUGUUUCUAAUUUGUAACACAUUGUGACUAUACAAGUAAAGUAGGGCCAGUCAUGAGGACAGAGCCUUGUAAUGAAAACUAUUUCUGUAAAUGCAUUCUUUCAGAACUUUUCUAUUUUUGGACACCCUCACCACAUGUGCUGAUAUGUUCCUGUAGUAGGACAUCCUCUCUAACACAUGGGAAAGCUGUUCAGUUUGAUACAGGCUAGGCAUCUAGGUGUUAAGUAGCAGCCAUGCACAAUUUGUCGGUCAUUUUGUUCCAGCACCGUAUGUCCAUAUUUAUCCAUACUUUGCUAUAAUUUGUCUGAUUUGUUUAAGUUGUGAGUGACCUGAAUGCCUAAUUAUCUGAAGCUUUUUCUAACUAUUGGGAUUUGUAAUAUUUUGGAGAAGUUUUCCUGAAGUUGUGGGGAAGUAUGAAAAAACAUGACUCCUAGUUUUUGAAAGUUUACCUUAAGUCCGGAAACAUUUUAAAAUGUCUCCAGUUCUGUACUCAAUAACCUUCCAGCAUUGACAGGGUCUGAUGUACAUAAAACAACAUUGUCAUCAUAAAAUCCCAGAAUAUAUUCCCUUCUGUUGAUAAGUACACCCUUUCCUGCCAGAAUUUGGCAUAAUCUCAUUGCCAGGUGUUCUAUGCUUAGAGCAAAUAAUAACCUUGUUUUGUUCCACAGCUGUUGACAUUUUUAUGAAUCUAUAUUAUUUAUCCUAAUUGUAGCCAACGUAAUAUCAUAAAUAUUUUCCAAUAUUCUGACAAAUUUAGGGCCACCCCCAAAAAAAUCAUAUGAUUUUUGUUUUAAGUACAACUAUAAUUGUUUUCUCUAUUUCUAUUACCUCCAAUUCUUUCUGUUUUAUCUACAAUUUUUAAAAAGCAUUUCUUGAUCCUGUAACUGUGUGUGUUUGUUCCAGAAGGGAAAUUUCCUGUUCCAGUUGUGAUAUUUGUGUCCUACGUGAUCUGCUUAAAUGUGAUUUUUCCGGUAUACAUGUCCGUUUCAUCACUGCCUUCAUUGUUUCUCACAAUAGACCCAAGUUUAUUCCUUCCGUAUUAUUUUCUUUACUUUUACCCCCUAAUGUUUUAGACAGUCUUUCUCUUAAUAAUUGGUUUGUUAUGAAAUUGGGCAGAAAUACCAUAUGGGCGUAGUGUGUUCAACUGGAGUGAAUUCAAAUUUCAUGGAGACUGGGGCAUGUUCUGUUAUUUUUAUCACUUCUAUUUGUCUUCUUUUCACUGCAUUUAAUAGUGGGGUUGGCUUGUAAUAGAAAGUCUAUUCUGGAUUGCAAACUGAACAUUGGGGACACAGACGUAUCAGUCGUGUCUCUCGAAUUCAUCUCCCCAGAUGUCCCGCAGUCCCCACUCUCAUGGGAACUUCACCAGUUUCAGUUGGUCUCUGUCUUUCUUAAGUUCUAUUGCACUCCGACAUUUCCUUUCCCAUGUGGAACCUACCAGAUCUUUAAGGUAAAGGUAAAGGGACCCCUGACCAUUAGGUCCAGUCGUGACCGACUCUGGGGUUGCGGCGCUCAUCUCGCUUUAUUGGCCGAGGGAGCCGGCGUACAACUUCCGGGUCAUGCAGCCAGCAUGACCAAGCCGCUUCUGGCGAACCAGAGCAACACACGGAAAGAUUGUUUACCUUCCCGCCGGAGCGGUACCUAUUUAUCUACUUGCACUUUGAUGUGCUUUUGAACUGCUAGGUUGGCAGGAGCAGGGACCGAGCAACAGGAGCUCACCCCGUCGCAGGGAUUCGAACCGCCGACCUUCUGAUCAGCAAACCCUAGGCUCUGUGGUUUAACCCACAGCGCCAGAUCUUUACAUGUUAAUAAUUUUAUGUUCCAGUUAAGAUCAUCACCAAUUAAUAAAUCAUUUGAGGAGCAGUUUUUCAGUUUGGCUAGAGUUUUUUGCAGAAAGGAUAGUUGGCCAGUAUUUGGUGCAUAAAUAGAUGCCAGUGUGACAUUAUGGAUUCCAUUAAUAAUACCAUCAACAAAAAUAAACUUUCCAUUUACAUCUCUCAGUACUUUUGGAGACUGAAAAUUAAGUCGUGAAUGUAUUAAUAGGGCCACCCCUCAACCUUUAGUGGAGCCACUUGCUGUGUACUUUUGGCCCACCAAUGACAAUGUAACCAGUGUAUUUUUUAUCUGCUUUAUGUCUUUCUUUCAAAAUGGCUAUAUGUGGAUCUGUUAUGAACGAAUGAGUUGCCAUUCUGGCCUGUUUUAUUGGAACUCCCAAUCCCAUCAGAUUUAAAGUAAUUACAUUAAUCCCUGUACAAUGGUACCUUGGGUUACAUACACUUCAGGUUACAUACACUUCAGGUUACAGACUCAGCUAACCCAGAAAUAUUACCUCGGGUUAAGAAUUUUGCUUCAGGAUGAGAACAGAAAUUGUGCAGUGGCGGCGCAGCAUCACUGGGAGGCCCCAUUAGCUAAUGUGGUGCUUCAGGUUAAGAACAGUUUCAGGUUAAGAACGGACCUCCGGAAUGAAUUAAGUAUGUAACCAGAGGUACCACUGUAUUUAUUUUGGCAAAGAAUAAAUAGUGUCCUUUGCCAGUCUAAGCUUUCCACAUUUUUGCUCUGAUUCUGGAGUUCAGUUAUUUCUAUAAUAAAUCUACUUAUAUAAACUUGGGGGGGGGGGGAACACACCUACAUUUGAAUUAUUAACCUGAAACCUUUAAAACAUACAGUAGACGGCACUCCAGUCGUUGGCAUUCGUCUGUCUCAAGAGACAAUGGAGUGUGCCUCUGGAGGUGAAGCCAAACUGCUAGAGAAUCAUAGCACCUGCUGUGGCUGUAGAGAUUGGUAGCUCAUAACUGCUGCCUCCUGUGUUGUUGUUUUUGCUGUGUUUUGAAGGGCACACCUGGGCAGUGUGUAUGGAGGUCCUGGGCUGCCCAGAAAACAAGACUCCCCUCUCAGCCUCGCUGAUGUGUUUCAAAAGAAAGCAAAGCAAUACAUUUGGCACCAUCUUGGCUUCAGGAGUUGCUGGAAGGAGGCAUACAAGACUCCAUCCAACCAGUUUAGGAACUCCACUCUGGAUUGUGUAGGGUCUACUCCUUAGCUUUUUCUUCUCCCUUAGGGGAGUGGGUAUUGGGCACUCCAGUACCACUAACUAUAAGCAUAAAAAUCAAAUUUAUUUUAAACAAGUAAAUGAUGAGGUGCAUUGAAGUGGGCAUUUUAUUUUAAACUUCAUGUCCUUAAAGGUACCUUUAAGAUGUUAAUAUUUGCAGAUCAUUGCAGUCUGAUUACUUUUGCUUCUCUAGAAAAUGAAUCUUUUUUCUCUUUUAAACAGCAUUCUAGCCUUGCAACAGUUCUGCCUUAUUUUCAGUUUAUUUAGCUCCUGUUUAUUUUCUGGGCAUAGUAACCUUUCUGAAAUACGUACAAUGCUGUCUCUUCCUAGUCCCAUUCUUCUCCUUUAUGGUCUUUGGGCUUUGCUGUAACUUUCCCAUUUGGGCUCUUAAGCUGAGUCAUCUUCACCAAUAGGUUCACUAUUUUGCUGCUAAAAAAUCAAUAACCUCACAUGCACAGCCCCGUUCUUCUCCCCCACCCCAUAUUAAGCUUGCCUGGAAGACUUUCUGGAUUAACUAGUUUCUUGACUGGAUGUGGAUAAUUUCAGUGGUCAGGGCGGGAAAGGCACCUCACUGGUGUUCAGUGGGGCUCCCUUUCUUGUUACUUCAUGUUUCAUAACAUCAUAGAAUAAUGUUAGGAAUCCAAAGGGUCAUCUAACCCCCCACAAUGCAGUUUCUUCAUACUCUAGAGCUGAUCAUUUUGAUAGCAUCCCAACAGUAGUGCUUGUGUACUUGGUGUGGGAGGAUUGGAUACUGUCAUUAUGUUUUUUUCUACUCUUCCAAUUCAUAUCCCCCAAAUCUUUCCAGGUCCUGCCAAAUCUCCCACACGGUAAUCUCUAGAAAUAUUUAUACUCUGUCCGGAUAUUGCAAAGAGGGAGAGAUACAAGGCCUAUAAAGUUGUGUAUCUCUUCAUGUUGAAAAUAUAAUCUUAAUUUUCUUUUUAUAAUUUAUCGGUAUAACUUAAACAGAAUACUGUACUUGACCAUGCUCAUAUUAGUUAGUAAGUGUUAGUUUAAAUGGAUUUUAGAAGUCUGACAAAAUUUGAGGGGAAUGAAGUGAUACUGUAUGUAGAGGAUUGCCAGACCUGGAAUAGAACAGGACUGCUGUCCCUUUCAUAAUGGAAAUUCCUCAUACUGCCCACUACAGCAAUAUGAUGAGCCAAAACUCUUCAUCAUACCUUUGAAUAUUGAAGGACCCUUCCACAUAUUAAUCCAGGCGAUAAGAGAUAUGUCAUCUUCCACUCAGCCUCUGUUCUCCAUUUAGAAAUAGGAAUGAUAAUAAUAAUGGUAAUGUUGUUCUAUUUUUCAGGGGUGCUUUGAGGCCAAACAUAAUCAGAAUCCAAUGUUUUCAAAAACUCAUAUUUGAGUCUUGUGCUUGUCCGACUGCUACAUAUGAGCUGUAGCAAAAAGAAAUUAGUUGCUUCUGUUUAUCCCCUGGUGUGUUUUGUUUUAAUAAGGAGCCAAUUGGUGACUAAUGAUUCGGAAGUAAUCUGAUGUGGUUCUGUGCAGUGCACAUUUAUGAAUCUGUGAGUUGCUGUGGCAAAGUGUCUGAGUGGAACAUUGAGCACCUUCACUUUCACUGUGUAUUGUACAUAGUCCCAGGUUCAUUCUCUGCCAUCUCAGGUGACUAGGCUAGCCUAGCUCCUUACCUGAUAUCUCAGGGAAAGAGAUGUCUGUUAUGAUAAACAGCACCAGGCUAGAAAGACUACUGGCUAGAAUCUGUCUAAUGAGAUAUUAUAUGUACAUUGAAUGAUAUGCCCCAAAGUAUAACUGAAAGGAAAUGUGUUAUCUGCAUCUUACAAGUAAAUAUAUUAAUGUAUACUGUCCAUACUUGAAUAUGGGGCCAGAAACACACACUCCCUCUAUUUUCUAGUCACCAUGGUAACUCUUAAUGAUUUCAGAUGGAGCAGUUGUGCUUGUUUAUGCACUCUGCCACAAAGACAUAGAAGCAAUCAAAACAUGGCAGCUAGGGAAUGAGGGGCCAUGGGAGUUGCAAGCAUUUGUCUGGCAGCUGUAGAUGAGGAAGAACAGGGCAACAGGAGGUAUGGUGUGAAGAUCUAUGUCAGCCAGGGCAGUUUUGUGUAGAUUAUCUACUUGGAGGCAUGCAACUGUGAUGGAGGAGAGACUCCCAGCUCCUUUAAUCCAAUCCUGCUCACAGAUGCUUUGUCUAACCUCUAUAGAUAGGUUAGAAAAUUGACAGCAGACUUAGAACAUAAUCCUUUAUUGGUAGCAGCACAUACCUGGUUUGGCACAGCAUAAGAUCUGCCCAUCAGGAUGCCCACCUACUUGCCUCUGUCACCACCCAUCCCAUCUACUGAGAUAACUGGAGGAGUUGGCAAGCAGGGAGGUCCACCAUGGCACAGGUCAGACAUGUGGGCCCACAAGCAGCCUGGGAGUGGUUGUUGGCUUGGGUUCCCUGUCUGGGACAGAAGCUUUUGGUGUCACCCCAAGAUCCUUUAUGUGGACCCCCUCAUAAGUUAUGGACCCUGUCCAAUGCCUUCACCUACCAAACUGAAAAGUUGUGCAGAUUGAUGUAGCUGUGAAAUACACAUAAAAGCCUUGAUAUGGAAGAAAACAAAAAACAUCAUGGCCAGCUGACCAAUGUAGCCUGUGUAUAAAAUUCCUUCCCUGUUCCAUUAACCAUCAGCUGACAUCCACAGCAGGCAUGACUGCAAUUAAGGGAGGCAGAGAAGAUAAGACCCUGAUGGUGAGUGCAGAGACUGAAUGUGGGGAAGUCUUUUCCACAGGCCCCACCCACAGGAACUAUUUUGGGCUACCCGUUGUCUUCUAGGCUCCAAACACAGCCUGAGGUAUGGUGCAAAAGCUUGCCCAAGUGGCUCCCUCCUGCCUCCGCUUCACCAUUACACAAAAGUUUCACCAGUACACAAAAGGUACACAAAAGUCGUCUUUUACAGAGCAGGAUCUCAGUGAAACAGUAGCUAGAUGAUUUGGGCAUCUUUUGAAGACAGCGUCUCUCAGAUGAGUAACCCCACAGAUGUAAGUAUGGGUACUUUGUUCUUUGUGAGACUUGGAAAUCAAAUAGACAAGUGUCUACUGUAUAAAUGGAGACUCUGAAUUGUGACAUAUGUAAUAGUCCAAUCUUUACAUUGGAUUACCAAUGAUCCAUGACCAUUAUUGUGUAAUAGUACUGAAUAGGAAGCAACUAGACUUUCUUUGUAAUGUGAAGCCAAUAGCAGAUAUAUGCCUAUUGAUAUGAGGCACAUAUUGUAUUCUAUUUCCAUUAAUAACUUUCACUAUUUCUUACAUUGUUCACGGUUCCCACUGACUUUGUGUGUGGUUUUGUGUAUCAAUAUGGUGCCCCACAGAAGGCUUAGUGAAUAAAGGCACACACUCCUCCACUGACUCCUAAGACAAACGGAUGCCAACAUGUGAGAUAUAGGGGGAACUUGGAAAUGCCUUGAAUGCAAACCAGCUACGUCUGAAUCGGUUUCACUUUACUUGAGUUGGAUUUCUUGGUUGUUGGACUGCAACAGAAACCUCUGAGCCAUGGAUUAGGCAGUAAAUGUCAGAGUGCCUAUAGACAUGCAAGAAUUCAUUUUUAUGGAUGUGCACCUCUAUGGAUGCUAAAAGCUGCUGGUAAAAAAAUUAAAUGACUGGAAAAUGACAUCCUAAAUGUCAACAUACAAAAAGAAUUUAGCACAACACUAACAAAUGCCAAAGGAAGAAUGAAUUCUUCUUUGGAAGAUAACAUCAUCAAAACAGCGGAAGAAGGGACCUAUUCUGACCAUAAUUCAAUACAAAGUGUAUAAUGGGAAGUUUUGAAGUAUCUUCAGUUGUGCUAAAGGAAGCUUUCUGCUAAUUAAGUUUAUGGGGUCAGAACAUCUUAAAACUGUUGUGGAAAAUAUAUUUAAAAUCCCACUUAGCAGUUCUAUCGAAAGUGGUCCAGAAAUUCAGAAGCCAUUAUCCAAGGAGCGGCUAAAACAAUACAUGUUCACCCUUCCAAUGGCUCCAUCUGACAUCAGGUUUUGUAGACAUAUUUGCAUAUAAGAUGCUAUUUUCUAUUUCCUAUCUAUGGUACUAAUACUGGAGAGAACCCCCCCCCCCCAAAAAAGGUGCAUACAAUAAAGUCAUUAUUGUGGUGUGCACAAUUGUCACAAAAUCUCCGUAAAUAGUCUUUUACAGCACUUUCAUCAUGUGAGACCAAAGAAAUUAGUGUAUCAGCUCUUACAGUCUUCUCUUAUUCCAGCCUUAAUCUUUUGAUCCAAAUGCUUCGCUGAAAAAGUAUUUAUAUCUUUAUGCAUAUCAUUGUGCCAUAUUCGCACUUGCAUGCCCUUUAAUGGGUCUGCCCACCUCCUCCAGCUUUGCAUCCAGUUGGCAACAAGCCAACAGGGCAAAAUUCUGCAUUCCUGGGAGCUGGGAAAAGGUAGAAGAACUGAUACCAUGUAGGAACAUAGGAAGCUGCCUUCUACUGAGUCAGACCAUUGGUCCAUCUAGCUCAGUAUUGUCUAUACCAGCUGGCAGCGGCUCUCUAGGCUUCAGGCAGGCAACUCCCCCAACUCUAUCUGGAGAUGCUAUCUGGAUUGAACUUGAGAUCUUAUGCCUGCAAGGCAGGUGCUCUACCACUGAGCUAUGGCACUUCUCCUAAAAACCACUGGAUGCGGGUGGUGCUGUGGUCUAAACCACUGAGCCUCUUGAGCUUGCUGAUCAGAAGGUUGGCGGUUCAAAUCCGCACAAUGGGGUGAGCUCCCAUUGCUCUGUCCCAGCUCCUGCCAAACCAGCAGUUUGAAAGCUUAUGAGUACAAGCAAGAUAAUUAGGUGCCACUGUGGCGGGAAAGUGAAUGGUGUUUCCGUACGCUCUGGUUUCUAUCACGGUGUCCUGUUGCACCAGAAGCGGUUUAGUCAUGCUGGUGACAUGACCCAGAAAGCUGUCUGUGGACAAACGCCAGCUUCCUUGGCCUGAAAGUGAGAUGAGUGCUGCAACCCCAUAGUUGCCUUUGACUGGACUUAAUUGUCCAGGGGUCCUUUACCUUUACCUAAAAACCACUAGCACAUUUUUCUCAGUCAGCAAGGAUAUUAUUCCUCAUAGGGGGUGAUGGACUGUGUGUUAAAUAAGUACAGUUGUCAGUUGGCAAUGGCAUGUGUUGGCUUUUGAGACCAGCCAGGUUUUCUUUAUGCUGUUUAGCCAUGCAAUGAGUUCUGUAUGCCUGCAAAACUUUGGAACUGUGAUUUCUGAACAGCGGCUUCCUUAGCCAUAUGACAAUUUUUCAAAGUAGUUGGUGCCAUGACACGUAGGCUUUCUGUGCAAAGGAAAGACACACAUACACACACACACCGUUCUAAGAUGAACUGGCCCUUUGGGUCCUGACACAUGAAUUUCACAUAAUGUGGUAGUGCUAAAAUUACUGGGGGCCAGCAAAGUCUUGGAUCCUUUCCCUUUGGGAUGGUUAUCUGUUGUUCUUAGAAAGCUACCGGUGAAUGAAUUAGGUAAAAUUGGGUGGCAUUGAAAAGUACAACUUGUGGAGUCAAUUAAGGGCCCUUUCCUUUUCUAAUCUGUGAUGGAAGCAUUGCUCUGUGAAAGAUCACUGAUUGGAUAUGGAGAACUUGUGUGGUGGCAGUCAGUAUAGUUACUGAAUAUCUGAAGAUGUGUGCAUGCACACGAAAGUUCAUACCAAUAACAAACUGAGUUGGUCUCUAAGAUGCUACUGGAAGGAUUUUUUUUAUUUUUUUUCGACUACGGCAGACCAACAUGGCUAUCUACCUGUAACUGAAUAUUUGUAUGUUUUGACUGAUGUUAUUUUUCUGCAUAUAUGUGAGCUUUAGGCUUCUGGGGGAAUUGUAUUUCUUAAUUCAUAUACUCAGUGCUUUUUUCUUUAAAGAAAUGUUUAGGACUACUCUCAUUUUCCCACUCAUAUUGAAAUACUGUCCCUCAAUGAGGCCAAAUUUAGAUUCACAGUGUUUAGGGGUAUGUGUACCCCUAUGUACCCCCAGAAAUAAGCACUGCACGUAGUAAAGCUUAAUAAAGCAUGACAUUAAUAUUAUGUAAUACACCUCAGCCUUAAGAUGGUGGUAUGUCUGAAUAUGUGCAUGUGUAGGCAGGGGGUUGGAAGAGCCAGUAGGUUUGGAGGAUGAACUUGGGAGAAAAAAGUUUGACACUCAUAUCUAAAAGGGAGAUCCUCAAAGGGCAAGGUUGACUUUCCUUCACUGACCUGGUGACUUAACUAAAGCAAUAGCUCCACCUGCUGAUAGAUAUAGAGGUAACCACAAUGCAGCUUCACAUACUGUAUGUACUUCAGCGCUAGGCAAUAGCUAGAAUCAAUUUGAACAAUGUUUGUAGACCAGUCUUCUGAAAGUGAGCAGUGCUAAAAGAAACAUGCUUAAAACAUUGGAAUGCAGCAAGCUAAUGAAUGAGAAGGAGUAGGUUUUACCCCUUCUGCGUACUCAUGCAUACUUCUUUUCAUGCAAACUUUCCCCCUUUGUUUACAGGGCAGCCAUGUGGCCCAAAUAUUAAUUUGAAGAAUUGUGUUACUAAAAUACACAUGGAUUUCCCAUCAUGCCUAGUUUGCCUCUUAGCCUGAAAGCAGCAAGUUGGUUAGAGAUACAGGUAUUCCUCAAGAAUAAUUGCAUACCUAAAGCACAGUGUGCCCUACCUAAAUGUUGCCCCUGAUAGUACAUCUGUUUAAGAUUUCAGAAGAAAUUAUAUUUUAGUGAGACUGUGAUGUGAUUGUAUAAAGUACCUGAUAAAAAAACAUCAUUGGUUCUUGCAGGCAUUGUGGAAACAGAAAAAAGAGGAGCUAAAAUAAAACUUUAUUUGGAGGUGGUGUUAGAACUGGGUUUGCUUUGUGCAUUGGAGGGGAAUGGCAAUUCAAGACAGAUGAUCUAGGGUGAAAUCCUAUGGUUCCUUGAAGAGCAUUCCAAGGGCCAUACAGUAGGAUCUACCCUUCAUUCUCCAAUGUCAUAUAGGGUGCUCUCACGUCAGACCUUCCCUUUCUAAUGUCAACAGCGUCUCCAAAGCUCUGGCCCAUCAAAUAAACAAACUUCAAAGUUGGUAAGGCCCCAAAUGGGGCAUUCUGGGGAGCAGCUUUGAUCUGAAUGGUCAAAGGCCCUCCCAGUCACCUGACAUGCUCCCAUACUGAAGGGGGAAUUGGACAAACUUACGAGAAUGCUUAAAGCUUUCUCUCCCAUUGUUUCCAAUGAGAGAGAAAACAGGCAAACAAAUAAAAUAUGCUAAGGCCUUGAAAUGGACAGAGAACCACAGAACAUUCCACUGCCAGUUUAUACCAUGUCAGCUUGAGCUUGGCACUGUAGCCUUUUUUGUUUUGCUCAACAGUUCAAGUUUUACGCAUUUAAAAGUGCUCUCUUUUGAAAGAACUAAAAGGGGGGGGGUUGAGUCAGUUUUUAAACUUACUACACAGAAACCCAUUCCUUCAGCACAGCUUUGGGUGAAGCAGUAGUACUGCCUUUAGAUUUCACUUACCUUACCCCACACCCUAGGAUUGCAGCCUUAAAGAAAUUCAGAUUUAAUGAAAUUCAUUUAAGAGGAAUUUAAGACUUUAAACUGAAGAGUCAAUCUUCACUCGUAAAUUUGGAAAGAUAGUGUUUAUAAGCCAUUUCACCCAGCAUUGGUAUGGUUUUACGUGUUCAUGCUGCUUUCGAUUAAUUGGACAUGUAAAUAGUUUACGGUUUCUUUUUCUUGCUUUUGAAGCUAUUUUGUCAUUGUUUCUUUCUGCAGUGUAAAACAAAAUAGCAGCUUUACAAAAUGUAACUGUUCACCUGAAGAACUGAAAGCGAAUGAGAUCCCAUGAUUGGCAGGGUCAUUAUCAGCAUAUUUAGUCUGGUGGUCACAAUUCCAACCUUUGAGAAAUUUGCAUCCUUGGUGGGAUUUGAGGCAAGGACCCUUGACCUUGAAAGGAUUAACAUACCCUUUGAUCUACAAGAACAUUUGGAAUGUGAUCCGUAAUACUUGAGCCGAGGGCUUAUUUUCAGAUGGUGCACCUCAGAGGGGCAAGCUCAUCUGAACUGUUUCCUGCUUAUGGACGCAUUUGGUUUGCACUGUGCAGUUUCUGUAUUUUAAGCCUUUUCAGUUCUGCUUUGCAUGGAGCACAGUCAGUCACAUCUCAGCCCUUCAGAGAAUGGAGAUACAGCACUUCAACAACUGAGUUGCAG